UCCUGUGAUUAGUGGCGAACGGGUGAGUAACACGUGAGUAACCUGCCCCUGACUCUGGGAUAAGCGUUGGAAACGACGUCUAAUACUGGAUAGGACUACUGGCCGCAUGGUCUGGUGGUGGAAAGAUUUUUUGGUUGGGGAUGGACUCGCGGCCUAUCAGCUUGUUGGUGAGGUAAUGGCUCACCAAGGCGACGACGGGUAGCCGGCCUGAGAGGGUGACCGGCCACACUGGGACUGAGACACGGCCCAGACUCCUACGGGAGGCAGCAGUGGGGAAUAUUGCACAAUGGGCGAAAGCCUGAUGCAGCAACGCCGCGUGAGGGAUGACGGCCUUCGGGUUGUAAACCUCUUUUAGUAGGGAAGAAGCGAAAGUGACGGUACCUGCAGAAAAAGCACCGGCUAACUACGUGCCAGCAGCCGCGGUAAUACGUAGGGUGCAAGCGUUGUCCGGAAUUAUUGGGCGUAAAGAGCUCGUAGGCGGUUUGUCGCGUCUGCUGUGAAAUCCCGAGGCUCAACCUCGGGCUUGCAGUGGGUACGGGCAGACUAGAGUGCGGUAGGGGAGAUUGGAAUUCCUGGUGUAGCGGUGGAAUGCGCAGAUAUCAGGAGGAACACCGAUGGCGAAGGCAGAUCUCUGGGCCGUAACUGACGCUGAGGAGCGAAAGCAUGGGGAGCGAACAGGAUUAGAUACCCUGGUAGUCCAU
rnacentral:rRNA from 1 species